rnacentral:rRNA from 1 species
AUUGAACGCUGGCGGCGUGCCUAAUACAUGCAAGUCGAACGAAGCUGUUUUAACUGGUGCUUGCACCUAAUUGACGAGACAUUGGAAUGAGUGGCGGACGGGUGAGUAACACGUGGGUAACCUGCCCAGAAGCGGGGGAUAACAUUUGGAAACAGAUGCUAAUACCGCAUAAAAGUCAAAACCACAUGGUUUUGAUUUAAAAGAUGGCCUUUGUGCUAUCACUUCUGGAUGGACCCGCGGCGUAUUAGCUAGUUGGUAAGGUAACGGCUUACCAAGGCAAUGAUACGUAGCCGAACUGAGAGGUUGAUCGGCCACAAUGGGACUGAGACACGGCCCAUACUCCUACGGGAGGCAGCAGUAGGGAAUCUUCCACAAUGGGCGCAAGCCUGAUGGAGCAACACCGCGUGAGUGAAGAAGGGUUUCGGCUCGUAAAACUCUGUUGUUAAAGAAGAACGUAUCUAAGAGUAACUGCUUAGGUAGUGACGGUAUUUAACCAGAAAGCCACGGCUAACUACGUGCCAGCAGCCGCCGUAA